GGGUUGUGAGGUUAAGCGACUAAGCGUACACGGUGGAUGCCCUGGCAGUCAGAGGCGAUGAAGGACGUGCUAAUCUGCGAAAAGCGUCGGUAAGGUGAUAUGAACCGUUAUAACCGGCGAUGUCCGAAUGGGGAAACCCAGUGCAAUUCGUUGCACUAUCGUUAACUGAAUACAUAGGUUAACGAGGCGAACCGGGGGAACUGAAACAUCUAAGUACCCCGAGGAAAAGAAAUCAACCGAGAUUCCCCCAGUAGCGGCGAGCGAACGGGGAGCAGCCCAGAGUCUGAAUCAGCUUGUGUGUUAGUGGAACGGUCUGGAAAGUCCGACGGUACAGGGUGAUAGUCCCGUACACCAAAAUGCACAGGUUGUGAACUCGAAGAGUAGGGCGGGACACGUGGUAUCCUGUCUGAAUAUGGGGGGACCAUCCUCCAAGGCUAAAUACUCCUGACUGACCGAUAGUGAACCAGUACCGUGAGGGAAAGGCGAAAAGAACCCCGGCGAGGGGAGUGAAAAAGAACCUGAAACCGUGUACGUACAAGCAGUGGGAGCACCUUCGGGUGUGACUGCGUACCUUUUGUAUAAUGGGUCAGCGACUUAUAUUCUGUAGCAAGGUUAACCGUAUAGGGGAGCCGCAGGGAAACCGAGUCUUAACUGGGCGUUAAGUUGCAGGGUAUAGACCCGAAACCCGGUGAUCUAGCCAUGGGCAGGUUGAAGGUUGGGUAACACUAACUGGAGGACCGAACCGACUAAUGUUGAAAAAUUAGCGGAUGACUUGUGGCUGGGGGUGAAAGGCCAAUCAAACCGGGAGAUAGCUGGUUCUCCCCGAAAGCUAUUUAGGUAGCGCCUCGUGAACUCAUCUUCGGGGGUAGAGCACUGUUUCGGCUAGGGGGUCAUCCCGACUUACCAACCCGAUGCAAACUACGAAUACCGAAGAAUGUUAUCACGGGAGACACACGGCGGGUGCUAACGUCCGUCGUGAAGAGGGAAACAACCCAGACCGCCAGCUAAGGUCCCAAAGUCAUGGUUAAGUGGGAAACGAUGUGGGAAGGCACAGACAGCCAGGAUGUUGGCUUAGAAGCAGCCAUCAUUUAAAGAAAGCGUAAUAGCUCACUGGUCGAGUCGGCCUGCGCGGAAGAUGUAACGGGGCUAAACCAUGCACCGAAGCUGCGGCAGCGACACUAUGUGUUGUUGGGUAGGGGAGCGUUCUGUAAGCCUGCGAAGGUGACCUGUGAGGGUUGCUGGAGGUAUCAGAAGUGCGAAUGCUGACAUAAGUAACGAUAAAGCGGGUGAAAAGCCCGCUCGCCGGAAGACCAAGGGUUCCUGUCCAACGUUAAUCGGGGCAGGGUGAGUCGACCCCUAAGGCGAGGCCGAAAGGCGUAGUCGAUGGGAAACAGGUUAAUAUUCCUGUACUUGGUGUUACUGCGAAGGGGGGACGGAGAAGGCUAUGUUAGCCGGGCGACGGUUGUCCCGGUUUAAGCAUGUAGGCUGGUUAUCCAGGCAAAUCCGGAUAAUCAAGGCUGAGGUGUGAUGACGAGGCACUACGGUGCUGAAGUAACAAAUGCCCUGCUUCCAGGAAAAGCCUCUAAGCAUCAGGUAACAUCAAAUCGUACCCCAAACCGACACAGGUGGUCAGGUAGAGAAUACCAAGGCGCUUGAGAGAACUCGGGUGAAGGAACUAGGCAAAAUGGUGCCGUAACUUCGGGAGAAGGCACGCUGGUGUGUAGGUGAAGUCCCUGCGGAUGGAGCUGAGACCAGUCGAAGAUACCAGCUGGCUGCAACUGUUUAUUAAAAACACAGCACUGUGCAAACACGAAAGUGGACGUAUACGGUGUGACGCCUGCCCGGUGCCGGAAGGUUAAUUGAUGGGGUUAUCCGUAAGGAGAAGCUCUUGAUCGAAGCCCCGGUAAACGGCGGCCGUAACUAUAACGGUCCUAAGGUAGCGAAAUUCCUUGUCGGGUAAGUUCCGACCUGCACGAAUGGCGUAAUGAUGGCCAGGCUGUCUCCACCCGAGACUCAGUGAAAUUGAACUCGCUGUGAAGAUGCAGUGUACCCGCGGCAAGACGGAAAGACCCCGUGAACCUUUACUAUAGCUUGACACUGAACAUUGAGCCUUGAUGUGUAGGAUAGGUGGGAGGCUUUGAAGCGUGGACGCCAGUCUGCGUGGAGCCAACCUUGAAAUACCACCCUUUAAUGUUUGAUGUUCUAACGUUGGCCCCUGACCGGGGUUGCGGACAGUGUCUGGUGGGUAGUUUGACUGGGGCGGUCUCCUCCCAAAGCGUAACGGAGGAGCACGAAGGUUAGCUAAUCCUGGUCGGACAUCAGGAGGUUAGUGCAAUGGCAUAAGCUAGCUUGACUGCGAGCGUGACGGCGCGAGCAGGUGCGAAAGCAGGUCAUAGUGAUCCGGUGGUUCUGAAUGGAAGGGCCAUCGCUCAACGGAUAAAAGGUACUCCGGGGAUAACAGGCUGAUACCGCCCAAGAGUUCAUAUCGACGGCGGUGUUUGGCACCUCGAUGUCGGCUCAUCACAUCCUGGGGCUGAAGUAGGUCCCAAGGGUAUGGCUGUUCGCCAUUUAAAGUGGUACGCGAGCUGGGUUUAGAACGUCGUGAGACAGUUCGGUCCCUAUCUGCCGUGGGCGCUGGAGAAUUGAGGGGGGCUGCUCCUAGUACGAGAGGACCGGAGUGGACGCAUCACUGGUGUUCGGGUUGUCAUGCCAAUGGCACUGCCCGGUAGCUAAAUGCGGAAGAGAUAAGUGCUGAAAGCAUCUAAGCACGAAACUUGCCCCGAGAUGAGUUCUCCCUGAGACUUUAAGUCUCCUGAAGGAACGUU
rnacentral:rRNA from 1 species